GGUAAAAUGACUGAAUAAUAAGUGAUAAAUUGUAAAUUUAUUUAUGAACAAUGGUGUUCUUUU
rnacentral:tRNA from 1 species